rnacentral:rRNA from 1 species
CCUCACCCUCGUAAGACUACCCGCUGAACUUAAGCAUAUCAAUAAGCGGAGGAAAAGAAACCAACAGGGAUUGCCUCAGUAACGGCGAGUGAAGCGGCAAAAGCUCAAAUUUGAAAUCCCCCGGGAAUUGUAAUUUGAAGAGAUUUGGGUCCGGCCGGCAGGGGUUAAGUCCACUGGAAAGUGGCGCCACAGAGGGUGACAGCCCCGUGAACCCCUUUAACGCCCUCAUCCCAGAUCUCCAAGAGUCGAGUUGUUUGGGAAUGCAGCUCUAAGUGGGUGGUAAAUUCCAUCUAAAGCUAAAUACCGGCGAGAGACCGAUAGCGAACAAGUACAGUGAUGGAAAGAUGAAAAGCACUUUGAAAAGAGAGUGAAAAAGUACGUGAAAUUGUUGAAAGGGAAGGGCUUGCAAGCAGACACUUAACUGGGCCAGCAUCGGGGCGGCGGGGAGCAAAACCACUGGGGAAUGUACCUUUCGAGGAUUAUAACCCCGGUCCUUACUCCCUCACCAUCCCGAGGCCUGCAAUCUAAGGAUGCUGGCGUAAUGGUUG